GCUGAAAGGCAGGAGUGCCCGCAAGGGAGCGCGGAGACAGGUGGUGCAUGGCUGUCGUCAGCUCGUGUCGUGAGAUGUUGGGUUAAGUCCCGCAACGAGCGCAACCCUCACCCCUUGUUGCCACCAGGUAACGCUGGGCACUCUAGGGGAACUGCCCCGGUCAACGGGGAGGAAGGCGGGGAUGACGUCAAGUCAUGAUGCCCCUUACGUCCUGGGCUACACACGUGCUACAAUGGCCGGUACAAAGGGAUGCGACACCGCGAGGUAGAGCUAAACCCAAAAAGCCGGUCUAAGUUCAGAUUGGAGUCUGCAACUUGACUCCAUGAAGGAGGAAUCGCUAGUAAUCGCGUAUCAGCACGACGCGGUGAAUACGUUCCCGGGCCUUGUACACACCGCCCGUCACACCACGAAAGCCAG
rnacentral:rRNA from 1 species